rnacentral:rRNA from 3 species
UGGGGAAUAUUGCACAAUGGAGGGAACUCUGAUGCAGCGACGCCGCGUGAACGAAGAAGGCUUUCGAGUCGUAAAGUUCUUUUAUAUGGGAAGAUAAUGACGGUACCAUAAGAAAAAGCCCCGGCUAACUACGUGCCAGCAGCCGCGGUAAUACGUAGGGGGCUAGCGUUGUCCGGAAUCACUGGGCGUAAAGGGUUCGCAGGCGGAAAUGCAAGUCAGGUGUAAAAGGCAGUAGCUUAACUACUGUAAGCAUUUGAAACUGCAUAUCUUGAGAAGAGUAGAGGUAAGUGGAGUUUUUAGUGUAGCGGUGAAAUGCGUAGAUAUUAAAAAGAAUACCGGUGGCGAAGGCGACUUACUGGGCUCAUUCUGACGCUGAGGAACGAAAGCGUGGGUAGCAAACAGG